UACGUAGGUGGCAAGCGUUGUCCGGAAUUAUUGGGCGUAAAGCGCGCGCAGGCGGUUUCUUAAGUCUGAUGUGAAAGCCCACGGCUCAACCGUGGAAGGUCAUUGGAAACUGGGAGACUUGAGUGCAGAAGAGAAGAGCGGAAUUCCACGUGUAGCGGUGAAAUGCGUAGAGAUGUGGAGGAACACCAGUGGCGAAGGCGGCUCUUUGGUCUGUAACUGACGCUGAGGCGCGAAAGCGUGGGGAUCAAACAGG
rnacentral:rRNA from 1 species